AUUGAACGCUGGCGGCAUGCUUUACACAUGCAAGUCGAACGCGCCAGGGGGCAACUCCUGGUGAGUGGCGAACGGGUGAGUAAUGCAUCGGAACGUGUCCCGUAGUGGGGGAUAACGCCGCGAAAGCGGCGCUAAUACCGCAUAUGCUCUACGGAGGAAAGUGGGGGACCGCAAGGCCUCACGCUAUGGGGGCGGCCGAUGUCCGAUUAGCUUGUUGGCGGGGUAAUGGCCCACCAAGGCGACGAUCGGUAGCUGGUCUGAGAGGAUGAUCAGCCACACUGGGACGGAGACACGGCCCAGACUCCUACGGGGGGCAGCAGUGGGGGAUUUUGGACAAUGGGGGAAACCCUGAUCCAGCCAUGCCGCGUGAGUGAAGAAGGCCUUCGGGUUGUAAAGCUCUUUUGGCCGGGAAGAAAAGGCCGCGGAUAACACCUGCGGUUUUUGACGGUACCGGCAGAAUAAGCACCGGCUAACUACGUGCCAGCAGCCGCCGUAAAAC
rnacentral:rRNA from 1 species